rnacentral:rRNA from 1 species
UACAGAGGUCUCAAGCGUUGUUCGGAUUCAUUGGGCGUAAAGGGGUGCGUAGGUGGCGCGGUAAGUCGGGUGUGAAAUUUCGGAGCUUAACCCCGAAACUGCAUUCGAUACUGCCGUGCUUGAGGACUGGAGAGGAGACUGGAAUUUACGGUGUAGCAGUGAAAUGCGUAGAUAUCGUAAGGAAGACCAGUGGCGAAGGGCGGGUCUCUGGACAGUUCCUGACACUGAGGCACGAAGGCCAGGGGAGCAAACGGG